rnacentral:rRNA from 1 species
UAUUGGUCAAUGGGCGGAAGCCUGAACCAGCCAUGCCGCGUGCAGGAUGACUGCCCUAUGGGUUGUAAACUGCUUUUGUCCAGGAAUAAACCUCUUUACGUGUAGAGAGCUGACUGUACUGGAAGAAUAAGGAUCGGAUAACUCCGUGCCAGCAGGCGAGGUACGACGGAGGAUCCGAGCGUUAUCCGGAUUUAUUGGGUUUAAAGGGUGCGUAGGCGGCCUAUUAAGUCAGGGGUGAAAUACGGUGGCUCAACCAUCGCAGUGCCUUUGAUACUGAUGGGCUUGAAUCCAUUUGAAGUGGGCGGAAUAAGACAAGUAGCGGUGAAAUGCAUAGAUAUGUCUUAGAACUCCGAUUGCGAAGGCAGCUCACUAAGCUGGUAUUGACGCUGAUGCACGAAAGCGUGGGGAUCGAACAGG